UCUUGCUGAAACCCAAAGCACCAAAACUGUGAAAUUUUAGAAUUUUUGAGAUUUGUUUGGUCGGCUGCUAAUGGGAGGGAUAGAGAUAGGCUUCUAGAGAGAUUUAAGAGGAAAAGCCAUAGGCAGGUCAAUCUUAUCUCUCUGAUUCCCAAACCAAAGGCUGGGGAAGAGAAGAAGCCUCAGGAGAAAGAGACUCCCAAACUUGAAGAGAAGAAAGAAGAGUGCUGUCGAAUUCAAGCACGAACUUGGAAAAGGUGAAGAGUGAGCCAGCAUGACUCGAACCCCAUCCCAGCUCUUGGUUUUUUAUCCGACGGUGGAUAUCAAGAACCAGAUGUCGGAUAAGAGGAAGGAGCCGGAGAAGAAGAUUCAUGACUAUCUCCAGCCUCACCUAUCUGCACCGCCGCCACAUCGUCCAUCGCGACAUCAAGCCCUCCAAUCUUCUUACCGACGCCCAAAACCAUGUUAAGAUCGUCGAUUUCAGAGUCGGUAGGUUCUCUCGCAGACUAUGGACCCCAGCAACUCCGCUUGGGGACCAUUGUGUACAUGAGCCUCGAGAGGAUUAACACGAAUCAAAACCACGGCCAAUACAACGGGUACGCGGGUGAUAUUUGGAGCUUCGGGGCGAGCAUCCUGGAAUUUUACAUGGGGAAAUUCCCCUUCAAAAUUGGGAGGCAGGGUGAUUGGGCCACCUUAAUGUGCACUAUUUGUAUGGCCCAACCACUCGAGGUCCUGCCCACAGCUUCCAGAGAGUUUCUGCACUUCAUUGCCUGUUGUUUGCAGAGGGAGCCGAGUCGUCGCUGGACCGCCUCGCAGUUGUUGACGCAUCCUUUCAUUACGCAGAGAAACCACACCCAGAGCCAAGUUCAUCAGAAUCUCCAUCAACUUUUACCUCCUCCAUGCCUGUUUUCUUCUUAGUCUUCUUCUAUUUUCUUUCAUUUUUGUUACUUGAAGAAUGAUAAAGAUUGUGUAAUUUUGAUACAAUGGGCAAGUUUGAUUUUUAGGAUCAGAAAUUUGGGUCUCGGGCUUUGCCUCCGGCGAGCACUCUUUGGAGACGAGCUCGAUGCUGUCGGAUUCAAGCACGAACUUAGAGAAGGUGAAGAGCGAGCCAGCAUGACUCGAACCCAAGAAUGAUAAAGAUUGUGUAAUUUUGAUACGAUGGGCAAGUUUGAUUUUUAGGAUCAGAAAUUUGGGUCUCGGGCUUUGCCUCCGGUGAGCACUCUCUGGAGAUGAGCUCGAUGCCGUCGAAUUCAAGCACGAACUUGGAGAAGGUGAAGAGCGAGCCAGCACGACUCGAGCCCCAUCACAGCUCUUGGUUUUCGAUCCGACGGUGAAUAUCAAGAACCAGAUGUCGGAGAAAAGGAAGGAGAGGGAG